UCCCACACAAAAAAACAUCAUUUUUUAACUGCAACAAUUGAUAUUACUUUUGUGCCAUUCUUUUAACAACAAAAAACCAUAAGUGCAAUGCAAAACCAUUUCUCUUUCUUCAUUGUCAGUUUUCACUCCUAAUUCUCCAUAUUUUUCUUCUUCCCAUUAACAUCACAAAAUCCAAAGUAUGAGAAAGUGAUUCACAACAAAUGCUUUAGAAACUAAUCAAUGAACAAAAACAAAUUCUCCAUUCUUUUUGUUGUCUUGAUUUGAAGAUGGGUCUGCACAUUGUUGUUGUUGUUGAUGGCUCCCUAGGUGAAAGGUUUAUGAACCUAGAACACUGACAUAUGGCUGGGUGAUGAAGGAAUCAUGUUUGUGAAUCCUCAUUAUCAUGGAAUUGUUUCGAUUCCUGUAAUAUUCCACAAAAACAAAUAAACAAACAUCAAACACUAAACUUUCAUAGUUAUUAGUCAAACAAAAAGUAGCAAAACACAAAGUAAAAUUAGAAGGGUAUAAAAUCAAUUGAGAACAUGAUCAAUUCAUGUAUUUAUCAAAUAGAAGAAAAAAAAUCAUUCUUCAUCACUUUCAUGACUCGUGAGCCAACCGUGGAGUUAUACAAUUGAUGAAAGUGAAAGAGAGAAGGAC
rnacentral:lncRNA from 1 species